GCAACAAGCAGUUAGAAAUGGCAGGACUGGCCACGAAAUUCAAGCCUGAGAUAACAUCACAGCUUUGCCCUUUUCUUGAUUCGGUUGAGCUGAGUGGGAAGAAGUAACAAAGGAAUUACAUCCCCAGCACACGCAAAAGCUCAGCCCGCCUCCCCAAACCGCACGCCUUGGCGCUGAGCCUCGGCACUCACCUAGGCGCCUCCAUGUUUCGGGGACAAACUGAGUCACCCCGGUCGGUAACCCUCACCGCCAGGCAGCCACGCCACAGCACCACAGCUGGUUUUAUUUCUUCAACAAGAUAUGAUGGCGAUUUUUGCUAGAAAUGAUGAAGCAAAGUUUAUAUUAUGGGAAAUAAAAGGCAGAACCAACUAUGGGUACACCUCAUCCAUCAAAACAGAAGGUUGUCUGUAUAAAGCACCAUCUUGGCCCAUGAUGCUUAAUGAAAGUAAAAACUUUACAUUGGAUGAAGUAUGAGGACCGCAGAUAACGGCAUGAAAAUAUCACUGUAUCACUGAGGAAGACAGAGAAAUCAUGUUGUGGUACUACUCUGUGUAAUAAGUCUAAUAUUUAAAUACCAAAGUUCAGCUUCCAAGUCAAAUAAAUGCACAUUAGAACUU